AUUGAACGCUGGCGGCAGGCCUAACACAUGCAAGUCGAACGAGUGGCGGACGGGUGAGUAAUGUCUGGGAAACUGCCUGAGGGAGGGGGAUAACUACUGGAAAGGGUAGCUAAUACAGCGUAACGACAGAUGUGCCCAGAUGGGAUUAGCUUGUUGGUGGGGUAACGGCUCACAAAGGCGACGAUCCCUAGCUGGUCUGAGAGGAUGACCAGCCAAACUGGAAAUCAGACACGGUCCAUACGCCUACGGGAGGCAGCAGUGUGGAAUAUUGCACAAUGGGGUCAAGCCUGAUGCAGCCAUGCCGCGUGUAUGAAGAAGGCCUUCGGGUUGUAAAGUACUUUCGGCGGGGAGGCGUUACCCGCAGAAGAAGCACCGGCUAACUCCGUGCCAGCAGCCGCGGUAAUAC
rnacentral:rRNA from 1 species